GAUGAACGCUAGCUACAGGCUUAACACAUGCAAGUCGAGGGGCAGCAGGGAUUUAGCUUGCUAAAUCCGCUGGCGACCGGCGCACGGGUGCGUAACGCGUAUCCAACUUUCCCGUUACUCAGGGAUAGCCUUCCGAAAGGGAGAUUAAUACCUGAUGGUGUUUGAAAUUUGCAUGUUCUUCAAACUAAAGAUUUAUCGGUAACGGAUAGGGAUGCGUGACAUUAGAUAGUAGGCGGGGUAACGGCCCACCUAGUCUACGAUGUCUAGGGGUUCUGAGAGGAAGGUCCCCCACACUGGAACUGAGACACGGCCCAGACUCCUACGGGAGGCAGCAGUGAGGAAUAUUGGUCAAUGGUCGGAAGACUGAACCAGCCAAGUAGCGUGAAGGAUGAAGGUUCUAUGGAUUGUAAACUUCUUUUAUACGGGAAUAAAACAUCCCACGUGUGGGAUCUUGUAUGUACCGUAUGAAUAAGCAUCGUCUAACUCCGUGCCAGCAGCCGCCGUAAGAC
rnacentral:rRNA from 1 species